UACAGAGGUGGCAAGCGUUGUUCGGAAUUACUGGGCGUAAAGGGCGCGUAGGCGGCCUUCUAAGUCAGACGUGAAAUCCCCAGGCUUAACUUGGGAACUGCGUCUGAUACUGGGAGGCUUGAGUGCGGGAGAGGGAUGUGGAAUUCCCGGUGUAGCAGUGAAAUGCGUAGAGAUCGGGAGGAACAUCUGUGGCGAAGGCGACUGCCUGGACCAGCACUGACACUGAGGCACGAAAGCGUGGGGAGCAAACAGG
rnacentral:rRNA from 1 species